AUUGCCCUAGUAACGGCGAGUGAAGCGGCAACAGCUCAAAUUUGAAAUCUGGCUCUUUCAGAGUCCGAGUUGUAAUUUGCAGAGGGCGCUUUGGCGUUGGCAGCGGUCCAAGUUCUUUGGAACAGGACGUCACAGAGGGUGAGAAUCCCGUACGUGGUCGCUAGACUUCGCCGUGUAAAGCCCCUUCGACGAGUCGAGUUGUUUGGGAAUGCAGCUCUAAAUGGGAGGUAAAUUUCUUCUAAAGCUAAAUACUGGCCAGAGACCGAUAGCGCACAAGUAGAGUGAUCGAAAGAUGAAAAGCACUUUGGAAAGAGAGUCAAAUAGCACGUGAAAUUGUUGAAAGGGAAGCGCUUGCAGCCAGACUUGCCUGUAGUUGCUUAUCCAGACUUUUGUCUGGUGCACUCUUCUGCGGGCAGGCCAGCAUCAGUUUGGGCGGUUGGAUAAAGGUCUCUAUCACGUACCUCUCUUCGGGGAGGCCUUAUAGGGGAGACGCCAUGCAACCAGCCCAGACUGAGGUCCGCGCAUCUGCUAGGAUGCUGGCGUAAUGGCUGUAAGCGGCCCGUCUUGAAACACGGACCAAGGAGUCUAACAUCUAUGCGAGUGUUUGGGUGUCAAGCCCAUACGCGUAAUGAAAGUGAACGGAGGUGGGAACCUUUUAGGUGCACCAUCGACCGAUCCUGAUGUCUUCGGAUGGGAUUUGAGUAAGAGCAUGGCUGUUGGGACCCGAAAGAUGGUGAACUAUGCUUGAAUAGGGUGAAGCCAGAGGAAACUCUGGUGGAGGCUCGCAGCGGUUCUGACGUGCAAAUCGAUCGUC
rnacentral:rRNA from 1 species